rnacentral:rRNA from 1 species
CAGUAGCCGCGGUAAUACGAAGGGGGCUAGCGUUGUUCGGAUUAACUGGGCGUAAAGCGUGCGUAGGCGGUGAGUUAAGUCUGCUGUGAAAUCCCCGGGCUCAACCUGGGAACUGCAUUUGUGACUGGCGAGCUAGAGUAUGGCAGAGGGGGGUAGAAUUCCACGUGUAGCAGUGAAAUGCGUAGAUAUGCGGAGGAACAUCAGUGGCGAAGGCGGCCAUCUGGGACAACACUGACGCUGAGGCACGAAAGCGUGGGGAGCAAACAGGAUUAGAUACCCCAGUAGUCCCUGUCUCUUAUAC